GAUGAACGCUAGCGGCAGGCCUAACACAUGCAAGUCGAGGGAGAGGUUACCGUCGGGUAGCCAAAACCGGCGCACGGGCGCGUAAGGCGUAUACAAGUUGCCUUUCACAUAGGGAUAGCCCGAAGAAAUUUGGAUUAAUACCUAAUGGUAUAUAAGAGCGGCAUCGUUUUGAUAUUAAAGAUACGGCGGUGGAUGAUGAGUCUGCGUUCUAUUAGCUAGUUGGUGAGGUAACGGCUCCCCAAGGCGGCGAUAGAUAGGGGUUCUGAGGGGGAGGUCCCCCACACUGGUACUGGGCUCCGGACCAGUCUCCUACGGGAGGCAGCAGUACGGAAUGUUGAACAAUGGUCGGUAGCCUGAUCCAGCCAUGCCGCGUGCAGGAUGACGGUCCUAUGGAUUGUAAACUGCUUUUGUAAGGGAAGAAUAAGGAGUACGUGUACUUUGAUGACGGUACCUUACGAAUAAGCAUCGGCUAACUCCGUG
rnacentral:rRNA from 1 species